CUGUCUAGCAAAAGUAUCUUGCAGCAAUUCACGUAAAGUGAACCCAUUUCAUAUUCGUGAACGUGCUGGAUUUGAAAAAAGAAUGCAGUACCUCAACGGUCUCCUAUGGACAAUGGCUUCGCCUUCUUUCCUACUCCCUUGUCGAUAGUACCGCCAUCAUUAAAAGAGCAGUGAAAUGCCCCAUGCAUUUUCGCUUUUGGCUGCGGCAUGUUGUGCGACAAAUAACGUGCGCUCUUCCGAAGGAGCGACGAGAGCAGCUGACCUGUAGCGCACGCGAGAGAGGAAUCAUAUCUGUACUCCCUCUAGAAAUCCUCUACCCCCCUUCAGAUACCGUGUAAGUGAACGAGGGAAGUGGACGUGACGUUGACAGUCCCUAUGUCAGGUGACUCGUGAUGUAGCCCACCGCAAUAGCAGACGAAUCUUCGGUGGCCAACGAGAAUUUGCAGCUGCUCACAGGUCUGUCGACGUCAUGCGCCGGGCCGGGCUGAUAGCUGUUUUCGCCGCGCGUUUGUUUAUAAAUUUGAUCGCGUAGUGACAAUCCACCGCACAGGCAAGAUAUUGUCCAUGGUGGCUCCUAAUAGGCAGCUUGAUGAAAGCAACAAGGUUUCGAGCCAUGUUAAAUAUCACGUCCGUGGUAUGCCACUUGAAACAAAAGUAUAGUUUGCGAAAAGGGCACAAGAAAACUGACCUGGGCAGGCAAGGUAGGGCAUCAUUCUGAAGGAAGAUGGUGCAGCUUCGUCUUCGUCAGAAGCAGCAGCAGCAGGGUUAGCUGGGUGGUUGCGCCGUCCGGGGUUAGGCCAUGGCCCUUCGCUACCCGACGGACUUCAACAUCGUACGGGAACUCCGUCUGACACGCGACGGCUUCGAGGCAGUAACCCUGGACGUAGCUCGCGACUGCAAUUAUCCGUGCUCUUCACAUUGCUUCAUCUGGUCAAGAAGCAGUGCCAAGAUUCUGGGAUUUCCGGGUGGAAUGGCCGAUCCCGGGGAAAGUCCAGAAGAGACAGCCAACAGGGAAAUGGAGGAAGAGAUUGCCCUGGACACGAAGCGAUUUAAGGUUUCCAUGGGUGAUCAUCUUAUCACUUUCGUGAAUGCCCCUCUGAAAUUCACCAUGCACUUCUUUGUCCUGCCCGUGACCGCUGAAGACUUCCUCAGCAUUGAAAAGGGCAUCAUGAAUGCUAAAGAAUAUGGCCAGGAGACGUUCGGUUUCUUCAGGGUUCCGCUGUUCAGCAUGGAACCUGCUGGGGGACUGGAGACUUUUUUGCAACAGGUGUUCAGUGGUGGAGCGCGGGAACAGCUUCUCUAUUCCCUUGCUCGACUUGGCAUUAUGAGUGUAGCUGAGAUCAAAGCCGUGGCAAAAUUGCGAGAUAAAUGAGGGACUCUGCUGGCAAACGAAGUCUUUAUCUUUUAUCGGUACCGUAAAAGUACUGUCAUCGGGGCCGAUGAGUUUGUGGCUAAGGCCAUAUUGCGAAACGUCUAGCCAUAUAGGCAGUAAAAUACGGUCGCAAGGUGAAAAAUCAAGGAAUGACAGGCGCAGAGGUGGCACAUCCUUUUUGUCCGCAAUUUUUACGAAAGUGUCACGCCUAAAAACAAAUAUGGCCGAUUCCGCUAGUUGGUGGUAGACAAGGUCGUGCCGAGGGCUGGGAAGUGGUAGGUUCGAAUCCUACCACCUACUGUGCUGUCUGAGGUUGUCGACAGUUCCCCUUGAGGUCGGCGCAAGACGCGUACUAACCUCCCGCCAUCCCCAAUUCCUUCCUGCUGUCCUCUGUCCACCUCUGUACAGCCACUUCACAGCCUGCUUCGCGGCACAAACAAAAUUGUUUUCUGUUCUGUGCUUUUCAUAUCACCACUUUCAUCUGUAACUUACGAAAGCUUGUACUGCAAUGUCACUACCGUUGUCACCUUGUUUAACUAUAAUGUUGCUAUAUUGGCGCAUGAACGCUCAAGAGAUAAAAUAUAAGGAAAGUAACGAAGGUGCCUUACUGACCGGCCCUUGUAAAACCGUCGUUGCCCCUUGACAUUCUUAUGUUGACUCAACCAAAGGAGCGCAAACUGUAUUCACAUUCGAAUACUAUAGGCAUGAGAGACUUUACACAGAGCGGCGUACAAUAAAGAUAAUAGCGGAAGCUUGCUGCCAUCGUCAUACGCGAUGCAGAGGCUAUCCAUAUUUACUUUAGCACUUUCAUUGAAAUUUCCAGAACUUGCACUUCUUAAACGGGUUCAUAUUGCUGCCUUUGCGGCAGUGAUAGGCAUCCGUGAAUUGAAAGCUGUUCCACAGCGGGAUAUUGACCCUGUCCGACGGCAAUGCCAGAGGCACAUUCUUGAGAUGCAUCUCCACGUAUCCCUCGUUCGCAUUUUCGCAGAACCUCGUAGCAUAAACAACGAAGAAAAGUUGCUCAGUAGUGGCAUUGGGCACAUUGGCCAACAGGGAAUGACCGCGGAUGCCAUGAUCUUUCAAGCUCGCCUUGUACAUCUCGUACAGAAACGGCAGAGCCGCAUUAUCCCUGACAUUGGGCUCUACGGUAAAAUCACGGUACAGAGCUCCGGCCAGGCUCAUGCUUAGCGACUUGUUAUACUGCGUCGCAAGACAGCUGCUGUAGUUUUUAUACGAUUCCUUCGUUGCUGUUGUCCACCACUCGUGCGCCUUGUCCUGAGUGCUGAAGAGGGAGCCGUAUCCAGACACGAUGCUCAUAAGUAUGUUGGCAACGUCGACGAGCGUUCGUGGUACGUACAGUGGUGUAUCGGUGCUGUCGAAACCCAUUGGCUCGACGAACAUUGCCAUGGGCACGUAGAUGGUGUUGUUGAGCGGAUCGUACGUUGCGUGGAUGUCGAAGACAGAGCCGAACCAACUGGUACGCUUAAGGCUGUGCACAAGUUGGCGAAAUCGAUGGCCCACGUGCGUGGCUCUGGCAUUUACUAGGCUGAGGAGCACGUUUCCCACUGGAACAUACUGCACUGUCUCGUAGAAGACGUUCCUCUCUUCUUCACUGAGAACCCAACCAGGGAAGAAGUCCACGAAGUCGAGCUGUUUGACUUUCUCAAGUGCCUUCGGUACGUCGCGACCGGACAGCCAUGUGAUGUUUUCGACCGAGCUGCCUAAGAAAUCCUUCAUUCUGCUGAUGGACGAGCGGAGAUUGAGAACGUUGUGAUCUUUGACGAACAUGUCGUGGUACAUGGACAAGAAUGCGAAGGGCAUGGCGUCUUCGGCCAUGCGAAGGCACAGCCGCCAACGUGGAACAUUUUGAUGGCGCCCCGUUAGUAUUCGACCAUAAUACUUUGUGAUAUCACCAUCCGAUCUCGGUGGUAGGAGCAAGGAGAACACUGUGUACGCCUUAAACCCGAGGUAGUUGAUGAUGGUUCGUCGCUGACGGCCUUCCAGAACUUCCACGAGCUUCUUCAGGAAGGGCAAGUUUUUGACCAGAACGACCUCCCUAUGAGUAACCGGACGUAUUUUUUCGAAAGUCUUAUUCAAGAACCUCACCCAUCGGAGUUUACUACAGUACGGCAGCUCAUUCACUUGCAUCUUUAUAUGCCGGCGUACCUUUUCUUCCUGAGGUGUUUUCGGAAGGGUAGCUUGCGCGACUUCGUCCUCCAACCCGAGAACAGCGCUGCCGAGGAGGUCGGACAGCGCAGGGUUACUCAAUUUGUCGAACGCUUUACGCACGACGCUCUCAUAUUCGAGCAUUUCGUGUUCGUUGAGGAAAAACUCGUUUCUCCGAAUAACUUCUCGUGAAGGUUCGUCCAUGGCAAUUACGUACUUUUCACUGUCGUCGGGAUCUCGUUCGACGCUGACGGACACAAGAGGAAACACACCCAGCCGAGACGCAAGAGCAGCGGCAACUUUCUCGAUUAGAGAGACGUUGAACUCUAUCUUCACAGUUGGCCACUCAUGAAGGUGCAGACUUGCAAGAGCCUCCUUCAGCGGUCGCAGGCCACGAUCGUUAAGACGCUCUUCAGACAUGCAAGCAUUCCUCAAAAGGAUAGCCUUUCCUUGGCUGGACAGCACAUUGAAGGACAAGGGCGCCGAAAGAAUCUUACGCAAUUCCUCACGGACGACUUCGUCGAGUCGUUUCUCAACAAACUCUACCAGUGUCGAGCGAUAGGAUACGUGACCACCCCCUUUCGGGACGGGAUGUUCUUCGGCCCAGUUGGCGCAGAUGUGUUCGUAGAAAUUAUCGCACGGGUUCAAGAGAGAGUCCAUUUGGCUGGCCAGUCGCUCCCCUUCCUUGGAGCAACCCUCCGUUGUGCACUCGUACCCAUUUCCUAAAGAUCGUGGCCUGUGGGUCUUGCGAAGAAAUGCCCCUAAUGCGCUAUGCAUGUUUCGAGGCACGUUUCGCAGACCACCAAGUGGUGUGGGGUCUAGGUUCUUGACGGCAAUUUCGGUUGGGCCGUUCUUAGAGUGAACAGUGUUUGGCGCCGCUUUAUCGAUGGGCGGCCUGGCGUAAUUCGAUACGCGCGUUGGCAACGAAGAAGCAAUUUGGCCUCCGGUUCUGUGGGCAAUUACAACGCAAGCGACUCCCAGAAGCAUGACGAAUGCAACAGUUAGGACAACGGCACUCGAUCUCAUGAGGACGUCUUGUGACUGGUCAUCACCUGGGAGGUUCCGCAGGCUGGCAGCGGUGUUUCUCUCGUUGUGCGGCAGCUCCUCGCUUACGGUGGAGUACGACGGGACCCCGGAGAAGGCAGUGGGCGGCAUACGCGUAGCGUCGAAGACUUGCGCGUGGUUUGCCCUUCGGCGAGGCGAAGGGUAGGUACCCCGCGGGCGGCUCCUCUGGCGCCUCUUGGAAGGACUUGUGCGCCCGCGCUUCCCGGGCGACCGGGACCGUCGGGCACGGCGAGACCUGACAGCGGGCGACGAUGACGUCGUCCGCGUCCCACGCUGGCUUUGGUGUUCAUUGCGGGGUACCGGACGUGGCAUUAAGGAUGAGAUUUGAGUGGCAAAAGAAUAUCGAACAAAACGUGUGUCGUUAUCGUCGUCGAAUUGUCACGUGAAUGGCUACCCUCGUGAUUCCCUUGUUUUUCCUGAUUUUCAGGACGAGCAUUUAGAGUGUGUUGUAUCGAAGUAAUGUGCAGUCAGACAUCCCGUCUCGAAACUUGUAUGCAGAGAAGGUGCUUACCCUUCGUCUCGGUCCUGAAAAGGGGUAUUAUAUAAACGUUGGUUUCGCUUCGAAUUUCUUACGAAUACUGCUUGUGCUUUCGCAUGCUUACUUAUUACGUAUGCGCCCGCAGCGUAAAUUUCAGCGUGCCGUCCAAGAGCUAUGUCACAAUCAGUGUACUGUUGACAGAAGGCGACCACAUCGAGUAAACCACAUUGUCAUGGAGAUUAUUUAAAUAUAUUACAUUACAAUAACGAAGGCUAGCUAAUUAUUGUGCUUAAUCAGAUCGGCAUAAGAAAAUUGUAAUAGACGAAAUAUGUUUUCGGAAGUCCGCAAAACGUGUUCCCGAAAGGGUUCAGGCGAGGUUGGGCACUGCCUUCUUUGUUUGGAGACAGUGAAGCUUUUCCUCCCUGGUAUUUUGCUGGAGUUUACUACUUGCAGUAUUACUGCGUUACUGCGGGAAAGAAUGUGGGCCCACGAAGGCAUGGUCCCACAUCCCCGACGAGACCCCAAACCUUUCGGACGCGGCUGGCUCCACAACGUGUUUGAGCUUUGAGCACGUCAGCCACGUGUACAUGUGAAAUCAGUUGUAGACAUUAGGAUAUAUAAAAGAAAAGUGUAUUGUCGGAAAAUGGACGGGAGGAACGGAAGAGCAAAAUUUGCAGAGACCGAUAGGCAACCAGAGAUUGUCCGAGAGACGUAUAAAACGGGCUUCCGUUCGCCGUGUGACCAGAAACUACUUAUUCUUCGAAAUGCUCCUGGUGUUAAUGUGUUAUUCCGGGCAACAAUUUUUGCUUUCUUAGUUUUCAGCGGCAUUGCUGCAGCCACGUCAUCGCUGGAGCCUAUGCUUUUUUCAGUCAGCUUGAAUCGCGUGAAAAUGUCCAAAGGUGUGCCGUUUGUCGUAUGGUUAUUCCAGUACUUUAAGUGCCACAGUAAGGAGAGCUCGGCAAAGAUCUAUAUAAGGACUAUAUGAGAUCGGUGAUAAGAUGAUAAGAUAUCAAAGGACUAUAUCAGACCGGCGCAUGGUUGGUCGAUCACUCUUCGUUUCGUCAUAAAACGUCUCCCUCGAGCCAAUCCUUUGGCUGUGUUCGCGUAUUGCGGACAAGUGCAUCUCAAUUCCAAACACUUUGUAGUCUCGAGGUCCAGGUCUAGACGUUCAUUCAUCCAUGCCCCUUCGAGCAUAACAUAUCGUAAGGCAAAGCGUUAAUAUGACCUCGUGUAGCGUUUAUCCUCCACGAUAGCAAACCGCCGUAAUUUCUCUCUCCUUCCGCACGAAACCUUCAAAACCGGAAGAGCUCUAUGGCGGAGGGAAAGCGCGCGCGCGCGAGAGAGAGAGAGGCGGCGUUGCGUAUCUGCGGACACGGUCCAGUCAGGUCCGGUCCGGCUUGUUUUACUUUCUCCCCCGACCCAUCAGAUAAAACAGACUCUUCUGCCUAGCUAUACGGCCCCUCAUGCGUCCUCGUACCUCACGAGUGCUAUUUUGAACGUCUCCAUAGAGAAGCAAAAGUUUGCGACGGGAUCUAGAAAUAUGGUGCUUUUUGCCGCAAUGUAGCUUGCGUUUGAACAGUGUUGCUUGCUUGGUCUGCGGCAUGGGGACCUCCCAUGAAGGACGUUACGGAAUCGUGGUGUGUUAUGUUUUGCGUGUAUUGCGGUGAUCACAGAGACCGUGCUGUGGGAAUGAAAAGCCCGUUGGUGACAACGGAAUCAGCUGGCGUGGAACGACUCCGAGCAAUCCGUUGGCCUUCACCUUGAAAGCUGCCGGCGUCGGAAUGUGAAGAGAGACGGAUUGUUUCCCGUUCGCGUGUGCGACAACACAGCUGCGGAGGCCGAUAGGGAUAUCUGAAAAUGGCUUUCGUCGGGGAGGGUUCCCCUGCCGCGUUCGAGUCGGAUGUUUACGUUUAUCAGCUCUUGAAUGACCAUUACAAGUGGGUGAGACUCACGCUAGAUUUCCUGCACAAGACUUUCUCGAACGGAAGCGUUCAAGGGCACGAGCUGUUGGAGCUAGGUUGUGGUCCGACCGUGCAUUGCGUGCUGUCAGCAAGUCGGGUGUUUUCCAACAUCACAAUGGCAGACUUGUCGUCCAGUAACCUGGAAGCUGUGCGGCAUUGGCUGACCCCCGAAGACGGCGUGGAUCUGGGAAUGUGGAAGCCGGUGCUGCAACAUGUCGCUAGGUUGGAGGGAUAUAGGAACGUAGCUCUCGGUGCCCAAGACAUUGGAAAGCGUGCGCGGAGGUCUAUCCGUCACCUUGUCCAGUGCGACGUCCUCAGAGAAACAAUCCUUCCAGCGCCGUACCAUUCGUACGACUGUGUGCUGACGUCUUUGUGCCUAGAAGCAGCCGUCUCGGACCUCGUGUCGUACAAGCGGGCUCUCCGGAACGUGGUGAGAUACGUCCGUCCUGGAGGAACCAUUAUCGUGAUCGGCGUCCUCGGCUGUAGAUCUUACGUGGUUGGCGAACAGACGCUUUCGUCUUUGAGUCUGACGCCGAAAGACGUUCGUGACGCCAUAGCGAAGGCAGGAGUGACGCAGUGCGUCUGGAACAUGGUAGAGAAGUGGAACAGCACGGAAGACGUGAACGGCAAUGAUUGGACCGGAGCGUUCAUGGUUAAGGGUGUGUGUGGUUGAGAAUCGAGUGUCGUAUGUGUUGUGCUGAUGAAGAGCGGAGCAUCAAAAAAUCGACGAAUCAUGUUAAAGAACCUGUGGAAGCCACGAGGCGGUUGAACGAGGAAGGCCUGAGGAGGGCGGUGUGGACAAGCACGCGGUGAUCACCGUAAUUUUUAAUCCGCAGAGACUUUUAGGGAAUCGUAAGCGCCCUCCGAUUACGACUCCGUAUCGCUGGCAGCCAAUCAGAGCACAGCCCGCUGAGUCGGAUGGUGAUAUGUUUUACGGGCCAUCGACUCCCAGGUGGGCGUAAGGGCGUAAGUCGCCAUCUUCCCAUGCAUUUCUCUCUAUAGACUUCUCCGUGUUUGCGAGCAAAUGGCGUCAUAGUGUUCGACAGCGCCACCAAUUUGGUAGAGUUGAACUACGCUCGAAGCUAGGGGCGAACGAUAGACGAGUUCAGAAAAUCCCAGUGCUCUUUACGCACGCAUUGCAUAUACUGUGCGCUUGCUGAGCGGGGGGGGGGGGGGGACGAAGAAUAAUCCUUCACAUUUCGCUUUCACUGACCUUGACACUUCGUGGGACAAUGGACCGGUAGGGGAGAAGAGAAGUCGGAACAGUUUGGAGGCCACCUGUUUCUUUCGUAUUAGUAAACUCCCACAGUUCCAAGCGACGCAAAGUACUCUGGGUUUUCUGAACUCGUCUAUUGGUCGUGCUCGAAAGCCACGAAGGGAUUACAAUGAUCCCUGAAAAGGACGCGACCUUCGGUCCUACUUUCCUUUCAAUAGGAGGCAGCGAACAAGUGCCCAUUCGUGGAACCCCGCCCUCCCCUUCCGAUUUGUUUCGGUUUCAGUCUAUCUACUAACGUCAUGAUGACGUUUCUCGGGUAGAGGUCUAUCUAGGAGUUUUUGUAGGUAGGAAGGUGUUCACGAUAACGGUUACGAAACCAUGAUGGGUCAAUUUGUGUUUCCUGUUUCUUCGAAGUGAGUGACGUCACAUUGCUAAGCUUGGGUAGCCUGGAUUUGAUAACUUCCUUUAUCGUACAAGAGAGAACUGAUGUUCUGAGGCUGGAAUCCAGAAGAUGUGGGUUCGAGUCCUACAGCUGGCUAACCUUUUCAGUGACUUCCAUCUUUCACCUUUAUCGUAUUGUUUUGUAGAGUUCUUCCGAUGUACUAAAGCUGACGAGGCUCGACCGUUGUUUUGGGAACCUAACGAAUUAGACGAUGUCGAUGAUUUAUUCCUCAUUUCUGAAGCUCUCGAUAGACGAAAGAAAGAGAUGGCAUAGCUAAACGGAACCGCUAAGCGGACGGAAUGUCACAGUGCCCCAUUCAGUUCCUUCCAUCGCUCAUAGGUGCCGCCACGUAUGCGGUGUCGGAGACAUACCAUGGAAAGACGUCCAUUUCGCUAAAACGUCUCGGCGGGCGCUUUGUAUUAUAUUCGCUUCGUAUCAUCGGUCGGAGUCGGGGUACGCUUGCGACUUCCUGAGUCCUUUUUAUCGGAAACUAAACCGGAAAACGACUAGCGAGGCAAGUGAGCGCUCUUGCUUCGCCGCGUCGGCAAACCGCACGCAGUGCAGAGUUGCCUCAGAUAAAGUACGUUGUUUGUAAUUUUGGAUAAAAUGAAUAAAAAUAGUGUUUGUGAAAUAUC